CCUGGAAGAAAGGAGAGAAAGAGGCUCGCCGGGUCCCAGAAGCCCGAGUGGUGGGUCGGUCCACGCUGCUCAUGUCGCGGUGGCCAAGGCUCCUCCUCCUCUAAGUGCCUCCAAAUGGGGCAACUGAGGCUCAGAGCACUUAAAGCAACUUCCCACAACGAGGAGGUGAUGGACCCAGGACUCAAACGGAGCUGAGGAUGAACUUGGUGAAGCCUGGACACCGGGGCCUCGUGGGAGCUGUGUGCAAGGAGGCCGUGGAGGAGCCCAUAGGGAAGCGAGAAGGACGUCCUCUCUGAUCCCAGCAGCUCCUGAAGGGCCUGGGAGCCUACUGCCUGCCUACAUUCGGCUCCUCCCCCUCCAUCCUAUCCCCAAAAGAUCAGCUGCUCUGCCCAGGCCCGGAGAAGGAGGGCUGGAGGACAGGGAAGGAGGAGAAAGAACAGGAGAAGGGAGAGCGAACCUGCCAUCCCCAGGCCGUGCAUGCUCACCGUUUGAGGGAUUGAUCGCUCCAACUGUCUAACCUGCUCUAAGGGGCACCUCCUGUAUGACAGACCCGGGGCCGGGAGCGGAGGACAGGAAAACGAACCAGCCGCCACACUCGUGCCCGAGGCGCCGCCGUGAAGUGCGAAGAUCAGACAGGAAACAAACAUGGACACCGCAAUCUGACAAUUGCCACUUGGCCGUGGGUGCACAGAACUCUGGAAGCCAACGAACUUGCCAGGAGAGUGGCUCCCAGAGCAGUGGUCAACUGAGUGGGGUGGGAAAGCAGUGUAGUGGGAAAAGGACAUUCCUGGCAGAGGAGGGUAUUGCUCAAGCAAAGGCCCAGAGGCACGAAAGAACAUGGUGUGUUUGGGGAACAGAGCACAGCUUGGUGGAGUCACAGUGGAAUAAAAAGGGUGGAGCCAGAGCUGAUGAGACAGACAGGAGAAGGAGACUGAGGUUCACCUGGGCAGGGCCCUCUGCAACUUCCUCUGCCAAGGCACUGAAUAAAUUGUAGUAAAAAAUAACAAAAGCCAAUCUAUUAUCAAACAGUUACAAUAUGCCCAGCCCUGGGCUAAACCUGUCACAGGCAUUAGCUCACUGAACCCUCCAACAAUCCCAUGAGAUGAGUUCUAUUAACAUUCCCACUGACAGAUGGGGAAACUAAGGCCCAGGGAGAUUGGGCAAAAUUGCCAGAGGUCACACAGCUGGUAGUGAACUGGCUGGGAUUUGAACCCAGGCUCCCAACUCUCACCCAUCAGCGUGUGCUGCCUCCAAGGAGUUUGGACUUCACCUUGAGUGCAGCCGGGAGCCAUGAGGGAUUGGGGAGGGGGAAAUGGCACA